rnacentral:lncRNA from 1 species
CUGCUAAAAUCGGAAUCCUUGAAAUCGAUUGCUGCAAAAUCGAAAAGAGAGAAAUCGAAGCCAGAUUGAAAGGCCCAGAUCGUGGUUUCCUCUCUCCAAACAAAUUGUGUUUCCUCUCUGCAAUAUCAGACCCAAAUCACGAUUCACCCAUCUUGGGUAGAUAGGUUGAAUAAAUCGGCACUCGGCAUCCCCUAUUUCAGAUUCAAGCUCGAAAAUCUAUUUCGGUGACAAGAAGACUAAGAAUCGGUAUAUAUUUCAGUAAAACAUUCACUAUCAUCCUUCACUAUGUGCUUUCUGCGAGAUUCUUUCCCUACCCAAUGUUGUCGAGGUCUGAAAUUUUUUUCCAUUCUGUAUUUUGGGCUUAUUUUGUGGUUUAUGUUUUGCUGAGCCAAUAACUUAUUUGUUAGCUCUAAGAAAUGGAAAUUUUGAUUAGGAGUAUUAGGCUUUAUACUGGGUAUUCGGGCACUUAUUUUGGCUUUGCUUAGUUAUAAAUUUAUCAAAUUAGCUAAUUUGUUAGCUCUAACAAUUAGAAAUUUUAUACAAGUAUGGACAAACUAAGAAAAACAGAGUUGUUGAGUGACUGUCCUAGCUCUAACCUAACUGACAUUCCGCAUAAAAUUUUGAAAAUAAAUAAAGGUACAAUAUUUGUGAAAUUUGGGAAAGACCCUUAAGCUUUAUAGCUGGAUUUGCUUUAUCCCUCAUGAACUCUCUUGUUCCAUCUUCAUUACAGCAACUAGCAAGCAAGUUUCUGUAGGUAGUUGAGCACAGUAGCCACCAUUAAUUAAUUUAAUUUUUUAGAAUUUUGUUAUCUUUAUGUAGUGUACAUGUGGUAGAAGGGAGAUAGGUACUAUUGAUUGUUUGGAAUGAAAGGAGUGCAACAGUUGGUUAGUUGAUGGUUUUUUUUUCUUUUUCUUUUUCUUUUUCUUUUUCUUUUUCUUUGAAUUACAAAUACUUUUGUUUAUUUGCAGUAGCUGUUGAAUUAUGUAAAAUUUUAUUUCAUUUUAUUUGCUGUAGCUAUUCCACAAAAACUACGGUGUUGAGUGAUUAGAAUACAAGUAGUUGUUCAAUUAUGUAAAAUUUUAAGUAGGAGGAGGCUUUGAAGUUUCAAUUCCUUGAAGAAUGGAGUUUUUAUCUUGAUGUUCCCUUUGAAUUAACUGGAUUUUGUUUAGUGGUACCUAGUUGAUUGUUUCAGAACUGACUUCUUAUAUGUGUAAUAGUUGGUGAACAUCACUAUUAAUUGGAGUGUACUAGUACAUAUGGAUAAUGUUAAACUUUUUUUUUAAAGUAUGGUAGGUGUUGCAUGUUGCUUGGACCAAAUCAAUUUUCAAAGAUAUUUUCAUUGUUUCAUCUAAUUCAUGUUUACCCAAUUUCUAUUUUUGGUCUAAUAAGCACAAAUGGGGUAGUGUUGAUUGAUCUGGUAGACGCAUCUUUUUAUUUGGUGAAUAGGAAUGCUCCACUGGUUCAAAGAAGAUUUUGCUUAGUUUUGAAAGAAAAAAAAAGUUUUACUCUUGUGUCGUCCUUCAGUACACUGUGUCGAUCCUUCAACUAACUAAGAUUUGCAAGAAUAUAAAGAUUAUUACCCAAUUUUAUGUUUGAUCUAAUUAUGACAGUUUCUCUUUGAAGGCAACAAUGAUGAAGACUUCAGCAACUACUCAAAGAGCUGACCAACCUACUCAAUAAACUCAAGGAAUUCAAGCACCUGUUGCAUCUCAAGCCACUCAAGGAAACCUAUUGCAUCUGAAAGCAUUCCACAGCUGAGAAAAUUCCCAAGUCUGGUUGAGAAAAAAAACAAUCUUUUGGUGUUUCCAUGAAUGCUCUUAGUUUGGUUGAAACAAGAAUGCUUUUGGUCUUAAUUAUUUGACCAAUUUUUGGUUUUAAGUAUGUAACAUUGGUGCUUUUUGUUUACUUGCACAUGGAUGUUUUUGUUUUAGUUUCACAGGUUUCUUUUGGUUUUAGUUGAACAGGGUUCUUUUGAUUUUACUUGCACAAGGAUGCUUUAUAUAAACAGUUGUGCUUUUUGUUUGCUACCACUAAUAGUACAUUUAUACUACCGCCAUCCUUAAUUUUUUAUACAAGUGUUUUAUGCA